AGAGUUUGAUCCUGGCUCAGAGUGAACGCUGGCGGCGUGCUUAACACAUGCAAGUCGAACGAGAAACGGUCUAGCUUGCUAGAUGCAGUCUAAGUGGCGCACGGGUGAGUAAUAUAUAGGUAACAUGCCUCUUACUAAGGGAUAACAGAUGGAAACGUCUGCUAAUACCUUAUAUGCCUUUUGAGCAAAAGUUCGUAAAGGGAAAGAUUUAUUGGUAAGAGAUUGGCUUGUACGGUAUCAGUUAGUCGGUGAGGUAAUGGCUCACCAAGACAAUGACACCUAACUGGUUUGAGAGGAUGAUCAGUCACACUGGAACUGAGACACGGUCCAGACUCCUACGGGAGGCAGCAGUGGGGAAUAUUGCACAAUGGACGGAAGUCUGAUGCAGCAACGCCGCGUGGAGGAUGACACAUUUCGGUGCGUAAACUCCUUUUAUACAAGAAGAUAAUGACGGUAUUGUAUGAAUAAGCGCCGGCUAACUCCGUGCCAGCAGCCGCGGUAAUACGGAGGGCGCAAGCGUUACUCGGAAUCACUGGGCGUAAAGAGCGUGUAGGCGGAUUGAUAAGUUCGAAGUGAAAUCCGAUAGCUUAACUAUUGAACUGCUUUGAAAACUGUUGAUCUAGAGUGUGGGAGAGGUAGAUGGAAUUUCUGGUGUAGGGGUAAAAUCCGUAGAUAUCAGAAGGAAUACCGAUUGCGAAGGCGAUCUACUGGAACACAACUGACGCUGAGACGCGAAAGCGUGGGUAGCAAACGGGAUUAGAUACCCCGGUAGUCCACGCCCUAAACGAUGUACACUAGUUGUUGCCUUGCUAGACAAGGCAGUAAUGCACCUAACGGAUUAAGUGUACCGCCUGGGGAGUACGGUCGCAAGAUUAAAACUCAAAGGAAUAGACGGGGACCCGCACAAGCGGUGGAGCAUGUGGUUUAAUUCGACGAUACGCGAAGAACCUUACCUGGUCUUGACAUAGUAAGAAGUCUUUAGAGAUAGAGAUGUGUCUGCUUGCAGAAACUUAUAUACAGGUGCUGCACGGCUGUCGUCAGCUCGUGUCGUGAGAUGUUGGGUUAAGUCCCGCAACGAGCGCAACCC
rnacentral:rRNA from 1 species